rnacentral:rRNA from 1 species
GCAAGUCGAACGGUAACAGACGAAAGCUUGCUUUCGUGCUGACGAGUGGCGGACGGGUGAGUAAUGCAUAGGAAUCUGCCCAGUAGUGGGGGAUAACGUGGAGAAAUCCACGCUAAUACCGCAUAUGUCCUACGGGACAAAGCAGGGGACCUUCGGGCCUUGCGCUAUUGGAUGAGCCUAUGUCGGAUUAGCUUGUUGGUGAGGUAAAAGCUCACCAAGGCAACGAUCCGUAGCUGGUCUGAGAGGAUGAUC